UACGUAGGAGGCAAGCGUUGUCCGGAGUUACUGGGCGUAAAGCGCACGCAGGCGGUCUGCUAAGUUUGGAGUGACAGUUGGUGGCUUAACUGCCAAAGUGCUUCGAAACUGACAGACUUGAGGGCUUCAGAGGGACACGGAAUCCGGGUGGAGUGGUGAAAUGCGUAGAGAUCCGGAGGAACACCAAAGGCGAAGGCAGUGUCCUGGGGAGUACCUGACGCUCAGGUGCGAAAGCCAGGGGAGCGAACGGG
rnacentral:rRNA from 1 species